rnacentral:rRNA from 1 species
UGGGGAAUAUUGGACAAUGGGCGCAAGCCUGAUCCAGCCAUGCCGCGUGAGUGAUGAAGGCCUUAGGGUUGUAAAGCUCUUUCGCCGGUGAAGAUAAUGACGGUAACCGGAGAAGAAGCCCCGGCUAACUACGUGCCAGCAGCCGCGGUAAUACGUAGGGGGCAAGCGUUGUCCGGAUUUACUGGGUGUAAAGGGCGCGCAGGCGGGAUAAAAAGUCAGUGGUGAAAUCCUACAGCUUAACUGUAGAACUGCCUUUGAUACUUUUAUUCUUGAGUUCGGGAGAGAGAGACGGAAUUCCAGGUGUAGUGGUGAAAUACGUAGAUAUCUGGAAGAACACCAGUUGCGAAGGCGGUCUCUUGGUCCGACACUGACGCUGAGGCGCGAAAGCGUGGGGAGCAAACA